CCACUGGUGUUUUUUAACACCACCCACCCGACAAGAAUGCAUCAAU
rfam:Saprolegnia parasitica CBS 223.65 unplaced genomic scaffold supercont2.3, whole genome shotgun sequence.